GACGAACGCUGGCGGCGUGCCUAAUACAUGCAAGUCGAGCGAACAGAAGGGAGCUUGCUCCCGGAUGUUAGCGGC
rnacentral:rRNA from 1 species